UACGAAGGGGGCUAGCGUUGUUCGGAUUUACUGGGCGUAAAGCGCACGUAGGCGGAUCGAUCAGUCAGGGGUGAAAUCCCAGAGCUCAACUCUGGAACUGCCUUUGAUACUGUCGAUCUGGAGUAUGGAAGAGGUGAGUGGAAUUCCGAGUGUAGAAGUGAAAUUCGUAGAUAUUCGGAGGAACACCAGUGGCGAAGGCGGCUCACUGGUCCAUUACUGACGCUGAGGUGCGAAAGCGUGGGGAGCAAACAGG
rnacentral:rRNA from 1 species